rnacentral:lncRNA from 1 species
UAAGUUAGAAGAGAGGGUUUGAGUUCUGGAGCUUGAGAAGCUUUCUCUAAGCCCUAUGUUUCAGGUUUCAUCUUUAUCUUCUUGUAUGGAUUUCAUAGCCAUGUUUGGCUAAACCCCUUUUGCUUUGGGUUCUUUGUAAGACUUAAGAUGUUUUAACCUUAAUUCCUAUUUCUAUUCAUGAAUCUUCUGAGUAAACCCUUG